rnacentral:rRNA from 1 species
ACCCUUCGGGGAGCUUGCACAGGUGCUGCAUGGCUGUCGUCAGCUCGUGUCGUGAGAUGUCGGUUAAGUCCGCUAACGAGCGCAACCCUCGCUGUGUGUUAUAUGUGUCACACGGGACUGCCGGUCUUAAGCCGGAGGAAGUGGGGAUGAUGUCAAGUCAGCAUGGCCUUUAUAUCCUGGGCUACACACACGCUACAAUGGCCAACACAAUAGGUUGCUAAGCCGCGAGGUGGCGCCAAUCCAUAAAGUUGGUCUCAGUUCAGAUUGUAGGCUGCAACCCGCCUGCAUGAAGAUGGAGUUGCUAGUAACCGCAGGUCAGCUAUACUGCGGUGAAUACGUUCCCGGGGCUU